AUUGAACGCUGGCGGCAGGCCUAACACAUGCAAGUCGAACGAGUGGCGGACGGGUGAGUAAUGUCUGGGAAACUGCCUGAUGGAGGGGGAUAACUACUGGAAACGGUAGCUAAUACCGCAUACCAUCGGAUGUGCCCAGAUGGGAUUAGCUAGUAGGUGGGGGAACGGCUCACCUAGGCGACGAUCCCUAGCUGGUCUGAGAGGAUGACCAGCCACACUGGAACUGUGACACGGUCCAGACUCCUACGGGAGGCAGCAGUGGGGAAUAUUGGACAAUGGGCGAAAGCCUGAUGCAGCCAUGCCGCGUGUGUGAAGAAGGUCUUCGGGUUGUAAAGUACUUUAAGUUGGGAGGCGUUACCCUCAGAAGAAGCACCGGCUAACUCCGUGCCAGCAGCCGCGGUAAUUC
rnacentral:rRNA from 1 species